UGAUACAUAAAGGCAACAGUAGUAUACCGAUGUUCAAACUCAUAAAUCCAUGGACAAAAAACAAAAUCGGGGUAACAAACUAAAACUGAGGGAAACGCAUAAAAUAUAAGAGGAGAACAACGACACAACACUACAAUGUAACACACACAGAAACGGACCAAGCAACAGACAAAAUCCACGAGAAUAACAAAUAUAACAUCAAAACCAAAUACAUGAAUUUGGGAUAGACAAGUACCGUGACACGUCUUAUCGCAAUGUGAAUUUACACUCAAAAAUAAGAGAAAACAAACGACGCAACGUUAAAAUGUAACACAUACAGAAACGAACUAUAAUAUAACAAUGGCCAUAUUCCUGACUUGGUACAGGACAUUUUUAAAGAAAAAAAUGGCGGG
rnacentral:lncRNA from 1 species